GAUGAAGAACGUAGCGAAAUGCGAUACGUAAUGUGAAUUGCAGAAUUCAGUGAAUCAUCGAAUCUUUGAACGCAUAUUGCGCUCUCUGGUAUUCCGGAGAGCAUGCUUGUUUGAGUAUCAGUAAACACCUCAACUUCCAUAUCUUUUUUUGAAAUGGGAGUUGGACUUGAGUGAUCCCAACGCUUUUCCUCACCGAAAAGUGGCGGGUUACUUGAAAUGCAGGUGCAGCUGGACUUUUUUCUGAGCUAUAAGAAUAUCUAUUUAGUCUGCCUAAAAAACAGAUUAUUACCUUUGCUGCAGCUAACAUAAAGGAGAUUAGUUCUUGUGCUGACUGAUGCAGGAUUCACAAAGACAGCUUCGGCCGACUUUGUAAACUCGAUCUCAAAUCAAGUAAGACUACCCGCUGAACUUAAGCAUAUCAAUAAGCGGAGGA
rnacentral:misc_RNA from 1 species